rnacentral:rRNA from 1 species
UUUGGCGGUCAUAGCGACAGGGAUACACCUGGUCUCGUUCCGAUCCCAGAAGUUAAGUCUGUUCGCGUUUUGUUUGUGUACUAUGGACCUGGUCUAUGGGAAUUUCAUUUCGCUGCCAGCC